rnacentral:rRNA from 1 species
CACAUGCAAGUCGAGCGAGAAAUCCGCUUUCGGGCGGAGAGUAAAGCGGCGCACGGGUGAGUAACGCGUGGAUAAUCUACCCUCAGGACCGGGAUAACACUGCGAAAGCGGUGCUAAUACCGGAUGAACUAGUUAUGUAAGUAACUAGGAAAGGGUGGCCUCUCGGCGAAGCUACUGCCUGAGGAUGAGUCUGCGUCCCAUUAGCUAGUUGGUAGGGUAACGGCCUACCAAGGCGACGAUGGGUAGCCGGCCUGAGAGGGUGAUCGGCCACACUGGGACUGGAACACGGCCCAGACUCCUACGGGAGGCAGCAGUGGGGAAUAUUGGGCAAUGGGGGCAACCCUGACCCAGCAACGCCGCGUGAGGGAAGAAGGCCUUCGGGUCGUAAACCUCUGUCAGGAGGGAAGAAAUGCAAGCAGUCGAAUAGGCUGUUUGUUUGACGGUACCUCCAGAGGAAGCACCGGCUAACUCCGUGCCAGCAGCCGCGGUAACACGGAGGGUGCGAGCGUUAUUCGGAAUCACUGGGCGUAAAGCGCGCGUAGGCGGUUUGGCAAGUCAGGUGUGAAAGUCCAUGGCUUAACCAUGGGAUUGCACUUGAGACUGCUGAACUAGAGUUUGGUAGAGGAUAGCGGAAUUCCCGGUGUAGGGGUGAAAUCCGUAGAUAUCGGGAGGAACACCAGAGGCGAAGGCGGCUAUCUGGGCCAAAACUGACGCUGAGGUGCGAAAGCGUGGGGAGCAAACAGGAUUAGAUACCCUGGUAGUCCACGCUGUAAACGAUGGACACUAGACGUCUGGCGUAGAAGCUGGGUGUCGUAGCUAACGCGUU